rnacentral:rRNA from 1 species
UACGAGGGGCCCAAGCGUUAUUCGGAAUUACUGGGCUUAAAGAGUUCGUAGGCGGCAUUGCAAGUCGGGCGUGAAAGCCCUCGGCUCAACCGAGGAAUUGCGCUCUAAACUGCAGUGCUUGAGGAAGCUAGAGGUGAGCAGAACAGAUGGUGGAGCGGUGAAAUGCGCAGAUAUCAGGAGGAACACCGGUGGCGAAGGCGGCACUCUGGGCCGGCACUGACGCUGAGGAUCGAAAGCGAGGGGAGCGAACAGG